UGUGGCUUGUCAGCAAUUGCUUGAGACAAGCUUCCAUGUGUGAAAGCUACUUGGCAUGAAUGCCUGGGCCGUACCAAGUGUCACCGCAGCAAGAGGGGGAGUCAGAAGAAAAACAGAUCAGACCAGAGCAGACAAUAGGCCCCUAAAGUGUUCCCCCUAAGUUGCUUUGAUGUUGUCCUGGUGUCUUGAUACCAGAAGGCCAGGGAUUGCAGGAAAAGGGUCUUUUUUGUCUUCAUUCACUUUCCCCCCUCAGUUUCUGAAAUGAUUCUCCAGAAUUUCUCCUCAUAAAAAAGGACUGAAUGUGGAACUAGCUGGUGUCAUUCCACUUUGACCUAAAAAUUCCUUUCUGUUUGGGUGGCAGAGAUCAUUCUUGAAAAGUUCUUCUGUGUCCCAAUGUAGAAGAAAGAGCAAAUUGGACAUCUUGAAAGUCCUGGACUCCUUCCCUCCAGGAUGAACACUGCAGUGUCGUGACCCUUGGGGUUUUGUGUGCCCUGGAGAUGCGAGAUUUUCCUUUGGCAGUAGGAGGCACACACCCAGAGAAUGCUGGAGCUGCAAGGGGAAAGGACCCACUUCCACAGCAGAGAAAAACAAAGAGGAAAAAGGCACACAGGUGGCCAGCACUAAGGGACGCGCCCUGCGAGCAGUGGGCCACGGCCACUGCCCCCGGCAGCUGUUUCUGCUGCAGCCCGAGAGGAACUCGGUGA